rnacentral:rRNA from 1 species
UACGGAGGGUGCAAGCGUUGUUCGGAAUUAUUGGGCGUAAAGGGCGUGUAGGUGGCUCGUCAAGUCCGUUGUGAAAUCCCACGGCUCAACCGUGGAACUGCAAUGGAAACUGGCGAGCUCGAGGGUUGGAGGGGGUCGCGGAAUUCCCGGUGUAGAGGUGAAAUUCGUAGAUAUCGGGAGGAACACCAGUGGCGAAGGCGGCGACCUGGCCAAUCACUGACACUGAGACGCGAAAGCGUGGGUAGCAAACAGGAUUAGAUACCCUGGUAGUCCACGCCGUAAACGAUGGGUGCUAGCCAUAUCGGGUGUUGACCCUUAGGUGUGGCGAAGCUAACGCGUUAAGCACCCCGCCUGGGGAGUACGGCCGCAAGGUUA